rfam:Homo sapiens chromosome 2, GRCh38 reference primary assembly.
GCAAUGGUGGUUCAGUGGUAGAAUUCUCGCCUUUCACACAGGAGACCCGGGUUCAAUUCCUGACCCAUGUA